UAGGGAAUCUUCGGCAAUGGGGGGAACCCUGACCGAGCAACGCCGCGUGAGUGAAGAAGGUUUUCGGAUCGUAAAGCUCUGUUGUUAAGGAAGAACGAGUGUGAGAAUGGAAAGUUCAUACUGUGACGGUACUUAACCAGAAAGGGACGGCUAACUACGUGCCAGCAGCCGCGGUAAUACGUAGGUCCCGAGCGUUGUCCGGAUUUAUUGGGCGUAAAGCGAGCGCAGGCGGUUAGAUAAGUCUGAAGUUAAAGGCAGUGGCUCAACCAUUGUAGGCUUUGGAAACUGUUUAACUUGAGUGCAGAAGGGGAGAGUGGAAUUCCAUGUGUAGCGGUGAAAUGCGUGGAUAUAUGGAGGAACACCGGUGGCGAAAGCGGCUCUCUGGUCUGUAACUGACGCUGAGGCUCGAAAGCGUGGGGAGCGAACAGG
rnacentral:rRNA from 1 species